AGUGAACGCUGGCGGUAGGCCUAACACAUGCAAGUCGAACGGCAGCACAGUAAGAGCUUGCUCUUACGGGUGGCGAGUGGCGGACGGGUGAGGAAUACAUCGGAAUCUACUUUUUCGUGGGGGAUAACGUAGGGAAACUUACGCUAAUACCGCAUACGACCUACGGGUGAAAGCAGGGGAUCUUCGGACCUUGCGCGAUUGAAUGAGCCGAUGUCGGAUUAGCUAGUUGGCGGGGUAAAGGCCCACCAAGGCGACGAUCCGUAGCUGGUCUGAGAGGAUGAUCAGCCACACUGGAACUGACACGGUCCAGACUCCUACGGGAGGCAGCAGUGGGGAAUAUUGGACAAUGGGCGCAAGCCUGAUCCAGCCAUACCGCGUGGGUGAAGAAGGCCUUCGGGUUGUAAAGCCCUUUUGUUGGGAAAGAAAAGCAGCAGGUUAAUACCCCGCUGUUCUGACGGUACCCAAAGAAUAAGCACCGGCUAACUUCGUG
rnacentral:rRNA from 1 species